rnacentral:rRNA from 1 species
UGGGGAAUUUUGCACAAUGGGCGCAACCCUGAUGCAGCCAUGCCGCUUGUAUGAAGAAGGCCUUCGGGUUUUAAAGUACUUUCAGCGGGGAGGAAGUGAGUAAAGUUAAUACCUUUUCUCAUUGACGUUACCCGCAGAAGAAGCACCUGCUAACUCCGUGCCAGCAGCCGCGGUAAUACGGAGGGUGCAAGCGUUAAUCGGAAUUACUGGGCGUAAAGCGCCCGCAGGCGGUUUGUUAAGUCAGAUGUGAAAUCCCCGGGCUCAACGUGGGAAAUGCAUCGGAUAAUGGCAAGGUUGAGUGACGUAGAGGGGGGUAGAAUUCCAGGUGUAGCGGUGAAAUGCGUAGAGAUCUGGAGGAAUACCGGUGGCGAAGGCGGCCCACUGGACGAAGAAUGAAGAUCAGGUGAGAAAGGGUGGGGAGCAAACAGG